rfam:Flavobacterium segetis strain DSM 19741 genome assembly, contig: Ga0131139_119
ACAACCACGAGUUGGUUAGGUCAAGAAGUCAGCAGAAGUCAUAGUACUUAUAGCAACGAGUUGCAAAUAGAAACUGCAUAGGUCUCACAAUCAAGGAAGGAC